GAUCAUCAGGAUGGUUGCACAAUGUUUUGAAUGUAAAUGCCACUGAAUUGUACACCUUAAAAGGGCUCAAAUGACGUCAUCAGCACCCACCCUCCCAGAUGUGACAAUCAGAAAUGUGUCCAGACAUAUCCAGAUGUCCCUUAUGGGGAAGGGAGAAUCGCCCUGGCUUUGCAGACUCCAGCUGGAACCCCUGCUGCAAGCGAUGGAGGAGCAACAGCUCGGCAAUCUGGAGGCAAGGUGGGAGGUGGAGAAGCACGGAAACGAAGUCUCUGGCUCAACCAGCAAAAGUGAACCACUCCCCAGCAGUGGAAACCGGGGCUUCCUAGAAGAAACGAUGCACUCCCCACCUCCCUCUGUUUGUGCUGCAGUGAAAACUGACACGAGAGAUUCAUUGGAACAUGUGCCCUCGUUCCACUCUCAUCAGCCCACCGCAGGGACAGGAGCUGUUCAUCUUUUUGGCUGUGCUCGCAGC
rnacentral:lncRNA from 1 species